rnacentral:sRNA from 12 species
AAGCUCUAUCAGUUGUUUUGCUGUUUGAACUGAGAAUUUUCUUCCGAAGGAGAACGAUGUCAGGAAGAAAAAGAGCAA